UUGUGACGCUUAUUCAUCCGCAUUUGGAUUUCUGUAGAAAAUUCCACCGCCUGUUGGCGCCAUAUUGCUUCUUUUUAGAUAAUAAGUAGUUUCUUGGUGAAUAUUCGGUGUGAUCGUUUCUGUUUGAGUGAAGUUAAAGUAAUUCGUGAAAAUGAGUUACGGUCGGCCACCGCCGCGCAUCGAUGGCAUGGUGUCAUUGAAAGUUGAUAAUCUCACGUAUAGAACAACUCCAGAAGAAUUGCGCCGUGUUUUCGAAAGAUGUGGCGAGGUUGGAGAUAUUUAUAUUCCCAGAGAUCGGUACACCCGGGAAAGUAGGGGAUUUGCCUUCGUCAGGUUUUUCGAUAGACGUGAUGCUGAAGAAGCUCUGGACUCCAUAGAUGGGCGCAUGCUGGACGGCAGGGAGUUGCGCGUGCAGAUGGCGCGCUACGGUCGACCUUCGUCACCGUACAGAAGCCGUUAUGACAGACGCAGGAGCUAUUCCCGUUCACGGUCUCGUUCACGUCGUCGAUCCAGGUCGCGCUCGCGCAGGCGGUCGUACAGCCGCAGCAAGUCCCGCUCCCGCUCUCGGUCCAGGUCUCGCUCCGACUCCAAGAGCUCCCGCGGACGCUCUCGCAGCCGCAGCCACUCUCGUUCCCGCUCCAGACACUAAACUGAUGGUUACUGUGGUGUAACACUGUGUAGCUGACAGACCAUGAGACACGGAGCAGCCUCCCAGGGCGUGGUGGAGCGAGGCGUUGCAGGGAGGGGGUUUGCUGACAACUGCUGAAUUGCUGUUGUUGCUGCAUAAAGUUAUGAGUAACUUUUUAUUUUUAUUGUACCAAGAUAUGCCAAUAGACCCAAAUGUUUUUAUGAGUGAAGGUUGUGAAUUUCAUACUCUUUGAUAUAUUAUGUGACAAGAUAAGUAAACCUGUUAUAUAGGAAAUUAAUACAUUAAUUUGUUUGCCAGGCCGGUGCUGCUCGCUGGCCUGAUUGCUGUGGCAGUUUCCUGUGCUGUGUGCUGUGAUUUGCAGAUACGCCCCCUAGGUUUCUAAAACAUAUGAAACUCCCUCCCUGCCUAAAUGAUGCAGUCUUCUAUGGGACAUUACGGAUGUGUAUGUGUAAUUCCUAUUUUUUUCUAGAUCUCUUUUAAAGAAAAGGUUUAUGCUUUUUUUUCCUCUUAAUUUAAUUAUUAACUAACAACUCGAACACUUUUGAAACCUUCUCUUUAAAUAUUGACAAGAUUGGAGAGACAUCAAACCAUGGCCAUCACCCACGACUUUAAGUUUAUUAAUAUUAUUUCUUAAUAAAAUGUAAAUAAAAA